rnacentral:miRNA from 1 species
GGUGAGCAAAUAUUCAGGUGU